AAAGAGAUUACAGUUGUAGAGGAUUAGCUGAAGAAGAUCAAAGAAGAUCACAGAUGAAAGUCAGAUAAAGAUGGUUAUAAUUAAAAAAAAAGGUCAGUUAAAAGAGAUUACAGUUGAAAAAGGUUAGCUGAAAAAGGUCAGAUAAAGAUGGUUACAAUUAAAAAAAAGGUCAGUAAAAAGAGAUUACAGUUGAAGAGGGUUAGCUGAAAAAGGUCCAAAAAGGUCACAGAUGAAAAUGGUCACAGAAGGUCACUGAUGAAGAAAGUUUUACUAGAAGGUCGCAGAAGAGGCUAGGGUGCAGAAAUGUUCAAGAAUAUAGCCUGAAGCCUCUCCUAAGUGUGGGGUGCUGAGCUGAGGUGCAGAAGGGAUCAGUGAGGUUAGGUUAAGUUUGGUGCUGAGUUGUUCCAGGAGUCAGCUUAUUUAGUCACUGCGUUUAUGUUAUGAAGCAUUUAUUUUGGGUAUUAUCUGUAUUUGAGAAAUCCAUGUAGUUUUUUUAAUUUUUUUUUUAUGGUAGUUUAAGUUAGUUAGGUUGUUUGGUGCUGAGUUGUUCCGGGAGUCAGCUUAUUUAGUCACUGCGUUUAUGUUACGAAGCAUUUAUUUUGGGUAUUAUUUGUAUUAGAGAAAUCCAUGUUUGUUUGUUUUUAUCUUCAUGGUAGUUUAAGUUAGUUAGGUCAAGUUUGGUGCUGAGUUGUUCCGGGAGUCAGCUUAUUUAGUCACUGCGUUUAUGUUACGAAGCAUUUAUUUUGGGUAUUAUUCAUAUUAGAGAAAUUCAUAUAGUUUUUUUUUUUGUCUUCGCGAUGGUUGAUCUUCAAGUUAGUUAGGUUGAGUUUUGUGCUGAGUUGUUCCGGGAGUCAUUUUAUGUAUGUUUAUGUUACAAAGCAUUUAUUUGGGGUAUUAUCCAUAUUAGAGAAAUCCAUGUAGUUUUUUUUCUUUGCAACAGUUUAUCUUCAAGUUAUGUAGUUAGGUUAAAUUUUGUGCCGAGGUAUUCCGGGAGUCAAUUAAUGUAUGUUUAUGUAUUUUUAAGCAUUUAUUUGGGGUAUUAUUUGUAUUAGAGAAAUCCAUGUAGUUUUUUUUAAUCUUCAUUGCAGUUUAAGUUAGUUAGGUUAAGUUUUAUGCUCAUUUAUUCUGGGAGUCAUUUUAUGUAUGUUUAUGUUACGAAGCAUUUAUUUGGGGUAUUAUUUUACUAGAGAAGUUCAUUAUUAUUAUUAUUAUUUUUUUUAUUUACAUUCCCCUUCCACCCAUUCAUCUCUCUCUCUAAGUCACCCACAGUCUGAUUACGUGCCUGACUUGCGAACAACAGCCAAUACCCUCUGCCCUAAAUAAGGACCUGAGAGCGCGUUUAGUUCAUGUUGAGAAUCACUUAUCCAAAAUUCCUGGGACCGAAAGUGUUGCGGAUUUCGGAUUUUUUCAGAUUUCGGAAUAUUUUUAUGUGGAUCUAAAUGAAAUGAAAACUAAAAUAAGUGCUGUACUAAGCAUUUAUUUUGGGUAUCAUUCUUAAUGGAGAAGUUUAGUGUAUUAUUUUUUCUCUUAAUUCAUGCAUUGCCAGCUGUAUUUUUUUCAUAUAUAUUUUCUUUGUUUAGUUUACAUUGUUUAAAAUUUAUGUAUGGAGUGUCUUUUUAUCUUUUUUCCUUUUUUUCCUUUUUGGUACAACGUCAAUAUAAUGGGUUCAAAAAAAAUUUAUUCAUAUAUUUUCUCUCCGUACAAGUAUUUUCGUAUAUAAUUUGUGUGUUUUUUCUCGGGUAAACGUAAAGAAUUGUACCGUUUUUCUGCAUUUGUUAAUUUUGGGGUGAAAUUCAGAUCUACAUUUUUAUUAUUAUGGGAGACAAACGAGUAUCUUUUGUGGGUAUAUAUAUUUUUCUACUUUAGUUAGAUUAUAUGUAUUGCUUAAAAAUUUGCAUGAAGUAAUUUUUUUGUUUAUUUUCUUUAUGGUACAAUGGUGAUAUAAUAAGUUAAACAAUUAUUCAUAUAUUUUCUCUCCGUACAACUUUUCGUAUAUAAUUUGUGUGUUUUUCUCGGGUAAACGUAAAGAAUUGUACCGUUUUUCUGCAUUCGUUAAUUUUGGAGUGAAAUUGAGAUCGACAUUUUUAUUAUUAUGGGAGACGAAUCAUUAUCUUUUGUGGGAAUAUAUAUAUUUUUCUACUUUAGUUAGUUUAUAUUGCUUAAAAAUUUGCAUGAAGUAAUUUUUUUGUUUAUUUUCUUUAUGGUACAAUACCAAUAUAUAUAAUGAGUUAAACAAUUACUCAUAUAUUUUCUCUCCGUACAACUAUUUUCGUAUAUAAUUUGUGUUUUUUCUCGGGUAAACGUAAAGAAUUGUACCGUUUUUCUGCAUUCAGUAAUUUUAGAGUGAAAUUCAGAUCUACAUUUUUAUUAUUAUGGGAGACAAAACAGUGUCUUUUGUGGGUAUAUAUAUAUUUUUCUUCUUUAGUUUAUAUUGCUUAAAGUAAUUUUUUUGUUUAUUUUCUUUAUGGUACAAUGCCAAUAUAUAUAAUGAGUUAGACAAUUACUCGUAUAUUUUCUCUCCGUACAAGUAUUUUCGUAUAUAAUUUGUGUGUUUUUUCUCGGGUAAACGUAAAGAAUUGUACCGUUCUUUUGCAUUUGUUUAUUUUGGGGCGAAUUUCUUAUAUCUGCAUUUUUGUUUUAUAUAAAAGACAAACCAGGAAUACCUUCAUAUCAAUUUAGUUGCAAGACUUUUUACUUUUAAUCACCUUUGGGCUAAGUUCAAGAUUUUAACAUAUUACGGCAUUUUCUCCGUUUAGUUUGAUAAGAAUGUGAGAUUACUUCUAUUUCAUCUGUAUUCUGAUUCUUGUUACUUUGAUAAUCUAACAUGUCUCAUUAAAGUUGCAUUCCACAAAGACAUUUCCAAACCAAUAUUACUUUACGCUCUGGAGGUUGUGUUAGCCACGGGAUUCUCCAUCUCACGCAAUGGUCGUGUGAUCGUCAAAUGAGAUGGGAAACCCCGUGGAAACACCUUAAUGUGCUUAUUUACAACACUGAAAAGUUCUGUAUUAAUUCUUUACAUAAGCAAGUCCCAUAAGAAGCGAUAACAGGUGGUCAGUGUUCAGUGUUAAGUCAAUGAUUUUAUUCUGUUGUAUUGUGUUCCCCUUCCACCCUGUCUGUCUCUCUCUGUAAUUCACCCAUGGUCUGAUCGCUUGCUAAACUUGUGAUCAACCAAUAACCUCCCACAUAUAAGAACCUGAGAGUGAGUUAUCUUUGGGUAUAAUAAUCGGAAUCCCACUGUGUUUCCCUUCCACCCUCUCUGUCUCUCUGUAAUUCACCCACAGUCCGAUCACUUGUUAGACUUGUGAUGGACACCCAAUACCCUUCCCAAAUAAGGACCUCAGAGUAACCUAUCUUUGGGUGUAAUUGUAUGUAUUGUGUUUCCCUUCCACCCUCUCUGUCUCUCUCUGUAAUUCACCCACAGUCUGAUCGCUUGCUAGACUUGUGAUGGACAGCCAAUACCCUUCCCAAAUAAGGACCUCAGAGUAACCUAUCUUUGGGUGUAAUUGGAAUCCCACUGUGUUCCCCUUCCACCCUCUCUGUCUCUCUCUGUAAUUCACCCACAGUCCAAUCACUUGCUAGACGUGUUAUGGACAGCCAAUACCCUCCCACAUAUAAGGACCUCAGAGUAACCUAUCUUUGGGUGUAAUUGGAAUCCCAUUGUGUUCCCCUUCCACCCUCUCUGUCUCUUCCUGUAAUUCACCCACAGUCUGAUCACUUGCUAGACUUGUGAUGGACAGCCAAUACCCUCCCCAAAUAAGGACCUCAGAGUAACCUAUCUUUGGGUGUAAUUGGAAUCCCAUUGUGUUCCCCUUCCACCCUUUCUGUCUCUCUGUAAUUCACCCACAGUCUGAUCACUUGCUAGACUUGUGAUGGACAGCCAAUACCCUCCCCAAAUAAGGACCUCAGAGUAACCUAUCUUUGACUAUCAUUGGAUUUCCCACAUGACACCCACCCACCCACCAACACACACACACACACACUGCCUCAGACCCAGUACCCAUUCACUGUAGGACAAAGAAUGGCACCAAUGGAAGGAGAAGAAAAAAGUGGAAGAUGGAAGACUGGCCAUCCAUCUCCACUCCACAUGGGAAUCGAAACAGGGACCUCUGAGUUGUGAGGCGAGUGUGCUAUCCACUACACCACGGAGCUACAUAUUUGCGUGUGUGUCUGUGUCAUUAACCAAAUUUAUGUUAGCAGAAGUAAUGAUAUCAAUUCUAAAGGUAGUCAUUUUGUAGUAGUAUAAGUAGUGGGAAUAGCUAUAGUAGUAGUUGUAGUAGUAAUAGUAGUAGUAGUAGUAGUAGCCCUGUAAUUACUUUGUAUCUUCAAAUAAAAAGUUUUGAUACAGGCUUUUA